rnacentral:rRNA from 1 species
AUUGAACGCUGGCGGCAUGCCUUACACAUGCAAGUCGAACGGUAACAGGUCUUCGGAUGCUGACGAGUGGCGAACGGGUGAGUAAUACAUCGGAACGUGCCCGAUCGUGGGGGAUAACGCAGCGAAAGCUGUGCUAAUACCGCAUACGAUCUACGGAUGAAAGCGGGGGAUCGCAAGACCUCGCGCGGACGGAGCGGCCGAUGGCAGAUUAGGUAGUUGGUGGGAUAAAAGCUUACCAAGCCGACGAUCUGUAGCUGGUCUGAGAGGACGACCAGCCACACUGGGACUGAGACACGGCCCAGACUCCUACGGGAGGCAGCAGUGGGGAAUUUUGGACAAUGGGCGAAAGCCUGAUCCAGCCAUGCCGCGUGCAGGAUGAAGGCCUUCGGUUGUAAACUGCUUUGUACGGAACGAAAAGUACUUCUCUAAUACAGGGGUCAAUGACGGUACCGUAAGAAUAAGACACCGGCUAACUACGUAGCCAGCAGCCGAC